rnacentral:rRNA from 1 species
AUUGAACGCUGGCGGCAGGCUUAACACAUGCAAGUCGAGAGGGGGAAGGUAGCUUGCUACCGGACCUAGCGGCGGACGGGUGAGUAAUGCUUAGGAAACUGCCUAUUAGUGGGGGACAAAAUCUCGAAAGGGAUGCUAAUACCGCAUACGUCCUACGGGAGAAAGCAGGGGAUCUUCGGACCUUGCGCUAAUAUAUGAGCCUAAGUCGGAUUAGCUAGUUGGUGGGGUAAAGGCCUACCAAGGCGACGAUCUGUAGCGGGUCUGAGAGGAUGAUCCGCCACACUGGGACUGAGACACGGCCCAGACUCCUACGGGAGGCAGCAGUGGGGAAUAUUGGACAAUGGGGGGAACCCUGAUCCAGCCAUGCCGCGUGUGUGAAGAAGGCCUUAUGGUUGUAAAGCACUUUAAGCGAGGAGGAGGCUACUCUAGUUAAUACCUAGGGAUAGUGGACGUUACUCGCAGAAUAAGCACCGGCUAACUCUGUGCCAGCAGCCGCCGUAA